GACGAACGCUGGCGGCGUGCUUAACACAUGCAAGUCGAACGGAAAGGCCCUGCUUUUGUGGGGUGCUCGAGUGGCGAACGGGUGAGUAACACGUGAGUAACCUGCCCUUGACUUUGGGAUAACUUCAGGAAACUGGGGCUAAUACCGGAUAGGAGCUCCUGCCGCAUGGUGGGGGUUGGAAAGUUUCGGCGGUUGGGGAUGGACUCGCGGCUUAUCAGCUUGUUGGUGGGGUAGUGGCUUACCAAGGCUUUGACGGGUAGCCGGCCUGAGAGGGUGACCGGCCACAUUGGGACUGAGAUACGGCCCAGACUCCUACGGGAGGCAGCAGUGGGGAAUAUUGCACAAUGGGCGGAAGCCUGAUGCAGCAACGCCGCGUGCGGGAUGACGGCCUUCGGGUUGUAAACCGCUUUCGCCUGUGACGAGGCGUGAGUGACGGUAAUGGGUAAAGAAGCACCGGCUAACUACGUG
rnacentral:rRNA from 1 species